CUGAGUUUGGGGUAGCUUGCUGCCCCGACUUCCAACCCUUUGAUUGAUGUACAUUUUGUAUCUUCCGGCUCUGCUUCGGUAUUCCGGAAGAUUUUCUUUAAACUCGUAUGAAUCAUGACGUCAAAUUUAUUUGAUAAUAAAUCA
rnacentral:misc_RNA from 1 species